AGAAGUUCUUUGGGCCAUCCUGCCUCAGAGCACUUGUUUCCCCUGCUGUCAAGCCACUCUCUACAGCACCAUUUGCCGUUUUGCUGACUUCUCCUUUCCCUUCCCCCUCCAUCUUUUCAUCUGAGUCCUUACUAACUCCUAGUUUGCCAGGGCUCUGUGCUGCACCAGCUAGAACCAUGUGGGACUAACGGGCUCUUGUCCCAGGUUCAUGCUUCAUUUCUUCUCCAAGGUCAACAGACAUCUCUCCUCUUAAGAGAGAGAUACAAGAACCCUAAAGCCUGGGCCAAAGUUUCUCCGCAGCUGUAAUGGUUUCCUGAAGCUGGAGAUUUUGCCUCGACUCCUAGACCCAGUCCUCCUUCCAUACUUUAGAGUUCCCAGGGAUGCCACAUUCUCCUCUCUUUAUGAUGCACAACAAAUCAUAUCCCUCAAACUCCACUGUAAGUAAGCCCUCCUUUGCCAACCCAAAUCUCAAAAUGUUCACCUAAAUAAAAUACUCUUUCUCCAUUUAUGAGCUCAAAACAGAAGUGGAGAUCUUGAGUUUUCCUUUAGAAGGUCUAUCCACCUUCCUUGAGAAGGUAAUGGUUUGAAAAGCAUUUGUUUUUCUUCUUAUACCCCAGAAAUCUCUGUGAUUUACUGUUGUUGACGACCAUUCUGACUUCAUGCUUUUGGGAAGGCUUCUUGGAAUGGCUGAGUCUUGAAAAAAAAAAAAAGAUAGGAUUCUGACAAAUGUAUUUCUUUUCUCCAUUGCAGCUGAAAUCAAGGCUAGCUAGGCAUGGUUAACAGUGUUUCCUAAAGCUGUUUGAGUCUAUUUACUUCAAGGACUCUCUUUUGCACUACCCAUGGAAGCUAGACUUCCAGAUUCCCCACAAUAUUGGCUUUCUAACUUGGGCAACUGUUUUGUGCCUUAUUCACACACUGGUUGCUGUUUGCGGCAGGAGGCUAAAAGAGUUGUUAGACUCUGUAGCACUUGGCUGUAAUUAUAUACUCCUUGACCUCACCUACAUAGUUGAAACCCCUGCUGCCUCCCUCCAGACAGAUAUCCUAGUGGGGAGUCUGGCUGAAGAUUGAAAGGUUGUCAUGGAAGUCACAUUUAAUUGCUUCCUCUUACUAUAUAUGGUAGGCUGGAAAUGGUAUCAUGAAGCUAAUCUUGUAAUCCUUUUCUUCCUGAAAGGAGAACAGUGGAAUUCUGUGAACCAGAGAAAUGUAGGCAGCUGGGAGUCGAACUUAAGCACCAGUAUGGUAGGCACCAGCCCUCCUGUCCAGUCUCAUUAGCCCUUCAAUGGUGAUAAUGACGUAGUCGGAAGGCAGCUGAAGAUUGCAAAGGAGCCAGACUGCAGAGGUCACUGGGAGGGGCAGAACAUGGCAUGAGGGAGAAGAAAUGUAAAGGGAAAUAGUAUUGUCACCAAAUUUGAGAGCUGAAAAAAGAAUUGCAUCCAAAUAUGGUAAAAGCUCACAGAUGUUGUCUUAACUAUCCUGUCUAUGUCAAAAGAGGUUGUAAACAGGAUACAGCAGUGGGAGCAAAAAUCUACUCGCCCGGUAGUGAGAUAGCUUGUGUUUCUGGAAUGCCCCACACUCCAUCUCUCUGCCAAUCUCAUUUUCUCUAUCUGAAACAACUUUCUACCUGGGUCUCACCUACUCCGCAUGCUGCCAUUUCCCCUGGGAUUACUUCUACUGGUCCUUCACAUUUCAGCAUAAUUGGCAUUUCCUCUGGGAAAUCUUGGGCUGCUGGAGACUGGGUGAGGUGCCAGCACAGGUCAUACAACAUAUAUACUAAGUAUUGUAAUUGGAUCUGUCCUUAUUUAUCUUUUCUAUUAGGUCAAGACUAAGGACUGUGUUUUCUUUAUUGCUGUACCCACAAUGUCUAGCACAGUGCCUGGAGUAUAGAAGGCAGUCAAUAAAUAUUUGUUGAAGGAAUAGAUGAUUGAAUAAAUGGGCUGCUAGAAAAUAAUCAUUUUCGUGUCUUCUGUGGACCAAAACCAAAUCCUUUAUUAGUUCAAAUCCUUUACUGAACAUGUUCUAUGUGGAAAACCUAAUUCAAGGUUUUUAAAAACAUAUGUAAGGGUUAAUUCUAGCUAUAGAAAAUUGCUUUAUUGAGGGUGGAAUCUUUGGAGAGUCAACCAAAAAAGGUUAAGCAUUCUGUGAAAGAAUACAGUAGCUAGAGAAUUUUAUCCCAAAGGUCAAUGUUGUCAGCUUUGAAUCUCAAUUUCUUUUAUAUCUUUGAUCAUUGGGUUACAGAAUCUAUGGUUAUCAUCCAAACUAAAGGGAAUGAAAGCUUUACUCUGAAGGAACUGGGUCCAGUGCCAGGACCUGUGAUAGGUGCUGAGAGAGGUCAGUGAUUGGCUGUGGCACCUGCCCUUAUGCUGUGUACUCUCUGGCAUGAUUCUCCUUCCACCUGAAUGGUAGACUUCCCCUUGGUGAUACAGUGCAUUGAACUACAUUAUAGAAUUAGUCUUCAUUUUUAACAUGUUUGUAGAUAAUAAAACAAAGGUUCAAAGAAGUCAAGUUGUUUGCUCAAGAUCACACAGCUGGUAAGUUGUGGUGCCCAAAUCUGGAUCUAGGUCUGUCUCUAAAGCCCUUUCUACUUUAUCUAUUUGUCUCCUGAGCCAUUAGCACAUAAAAUACAGUUCUCAAGCACUACCACCACCCAAGGAGUCGCUACAAGGGAAAUUGAGGUGGGCCAUGUCUAGGGCUGGGGAUCUGCAUUUCUGUCUUUUUCUGACAUUUUAAAAUAGGGGGAUUCCAAAUUUUGCACCAUAUCACCAUUGCCUUGUCACUAACCAUAAUACAUUUACCAUCUGAAGGAGGCAAGAAAUAUCUGUGAGUCACAAAAAAGAACAAUGGGCUGAUGCAUAUCCUAUAGGUUCUACCUUCAAAAUAUAUCCAGAAUCUGAUGACUUCUGCCCAUCGCCUAUACUAACACACUGGUUAAGUCACCAUCAUUCUUGUCUGGGGGAUUGUAGCAGCUUCCCAGCUGGUUUUCCUGUUUCUACUCUCACGUCCUUAGAGAACGUUCUCCUCGUAGCAUCUAGAGUGCUCCGUUAAAAAGGUAAAUCUGGUUAUGUCACUCCUUGCUCACCAUCCUCCAGUGGCCCAGACUGCAUUUAGAAUAAAAUCCAAGCAACUUUGCAUUACCUUCAAGUUUUAAUGUUGAAGUUUAAUGUUCCUCCUCCCCACUUCUCAAGCCCUUCUCUGUCCCAGCCUCUUUGUACUUGCCGUAGUUUGUACCACCUGAUGUUCUUCCCAGGGCUUUUUGCUGGUGAAGGAGAUCAGAAUAUGUCCCCCCAAAAUAUGCCUUUUUGACAUAGGAAUUAGUUUGAGCUGAAGGCAAUUAAGAAGUAGCAAACACAAGAACAUUUCUCUCAACCCUCCCCCUUUCUGCCUAAAGGCAGGAUCUAAAUUCUCCUUUCCUAGGUCUGACUCCAGACUCUUACCAACCCAGAGACAGCACCAGAGGAAUCUGCCAACAACUCUUACUCCACUAGUUUACCCCAUAUGUUUACCUUCCCAUAGUUCCCUGCCCUUGGAAACCUAAAACUGCUUUCCUUUGUUCUGUCAUUUCUCUACACAUUUAUUAUUAUUCUUUGUUCCGUCAUUUCUCUACACAUUUAUUAUUAUUCUUUGUUAAAAAUGCUAUAAAAGUCGAGUCCUGAAAGGUUAUGGACUCGUCUGUCUCUGGGUACUCACAUGUGUCACAUGCAUGAUUUGCAUGUUAAUAAACUCCUGUGUGUUUCUAUUUU